GGCACCCCCCGCCGAGGGGCCGCGGGCAGGGAGCGGGGGCGGGCCCGGCGGGUGCCCAGCGGCAGCACCGCCCCUCGCGGGCGGGGAUGGGGCGAGGGGCCGCCUCGUCCUCCCCGCCAUCCGCACCUCGGCAUGGAGAACAUGAAGGCAGUUACCUCAUACAUGGAAGACUUGGCAACUUGUGGCAAAAACGACUGGAAAGAUAAGAGAAGACAUCAUUAUCAAGAAUUGUUACAGAUUCCCAGAAUAAAUGAGGUUGGAAAAGACUUCUUGAGAUCAUCGACCACAACCUUUGACUGAAUAUCACCAUGUCAGCUAGGCCAUGGCAGUAACUGAAUGUCCAGUCUUUUCUUAACACUUCCAUACAAAGGAAGAAACAGAAUUUAGAGGAAAUAUAACAGCUACAGCAAUUUAUAAAAAGCAGUUUUAAGCAGGACUCAAGUCAGUAGAGCUCCACAACAGACAGAGUUGUGGCUCAUACACCUCAGGCUUUCUGUCCUUUGUCUAUCCACAUCAAAUCAAUCCCUUCAGAAAAAGGCUACAUACCUUAGUUUUGCAAAACUUCUCUGAUAGCAUUUGGAAUAGUUGUAGCAGCAAAAAAUCAAACAACAAUAAGAACAUUUGACUGCUGAUGGGGAAGCAAAUAGGAGGAAAGUAUGGCAUUCCUGUAGUAUUGCUUGGGAUUUAAAAUUUUUCAAGAGAGAUAGAACCACAGUCUUUUAGCCUACAAUUUGAAUUUAAGGAAGUUUUAUUCUAUAUCAAGGACACAGCCAAAAUGCAUACUUCAUCCCUUCCCCUAGGGGAGACAUUACUGUCAGGACUGUGUGCAGGAUACAGCAAAAGUUAGGGAAUGUCAAAGACCCAACUGGUUCUCUUCUCCUCAGAGCAUGUCUGCAUCAGCUCAAGCCACAGUCCUAUUUAAAUCUGAACUGUAUUUUUUCCUGGCUGACUUCAGUCCCUAAAGGAACAUCCAUCAGCCAAGAAGAAGUGGAUCACGCAACGUCCCAGCCUCAAACUUGAUACAGUCAACCUCAGGGUGACUUGGGAAAGAACUGUCACAGCCAUCCUGAAACUAAGCAAUUGCUGGAGUAUUCCCACUCUGCAACCUGCCCAUGACUUUGGCUUGUGUUGUGCAGCUGUGAAGAAACUCUCCAAGUCUUUGGCUCUGUGAAUUCUCUAAACUGUAUUGUUAAAAAGAGAGUGAAUGGAAUUGGCUAAAUCCCAUCUCGGUUUAAAAAUGUCUUGGAAAUAAAAUCUGGAAGAGUGCAGCACAUCAGAGAUGCUCAAAGCAAGCAAUUUAGGAGCAGCAGCUGAACUCAUAUAUAUAUGUACACACACAUAUAUGUACAUACACACAUAUAUGUAUUUACAUGUCUCAUAAGUAACUGCAAAUUAAUAUAUCUUUGUGGAAGCAGGUCAACUAAGGCUUUAGUUGAUGAAGAAGUGUUUUUAAGACUCUUGCACAAGCCAACCAUUCUAAGUGCUACAAUUUGAACUGAUGAACUCAUCAGCUCAGCUGGAAAACAUAUCAAUUUAGAAAUGCAUUUGAAGUGCAAAUUGCAUUAACACACAAAUUUAAUUUACAGGAAGCUCUUUAUGGGUUUUAAAACUACUACUUAAACUAUACAAAUUGCUCCAUUUAAACUGCUAUGACAAAAAUGGCAGAAAAUGUUUUAGGAAUGGUAACCAUUGAUUUCUAUUUCACGCUAAAUUUGAGUCUACAUGGUUCAUGAAUGAACAAAUGGUAAAAUAAGACUUGAGAAAGCACACAAUUAUUUGAAAAGAAAAACAUUUAAAAGGAUUGAAAAGUUAAAUUUCUGUAUUUGUCUUUGGUUUAUCACAGCUAAUAAAAUUAUGUAGAGUGUAGCCUUAUUUGAGCUUUGAUGUGGUGCUUUUAGUGGAAACAGAAGUCAAAUCAGUAAUUUAGUCAGGGGCAUGUUUCUACCCCAGCCUCUGGCAAAGGGGAAGAUUAUACCAAGCCCAAAUAUACAUUUCAAAUGUGCUAAAAGUGUGAUAUUUUAUUUAAAUUUGCAUUUAGUCAUUUGGGGAAACCUGACAUACCCUGCCAUAAAGCUAUAAGAGAGCAUCCAAAGCAAGGCUACAAAGAUGGUGAAGGACUGUGAAGGCAAGUCAUAUGAGGAGCAGCUGAGGUCACUUGCUCUGCUCAGCCUGGAGAAAAGGAGACUGGGGCGAGAUCUCACUGCACUUACAACUUCCUCGUGAUAGGAAGAGGAGAGGCAGGCACUGAUCUCUUCAGGCCUGAAGUUGUGUCAGAGAGGUUUAGGUCAGGCAUUAGAAAAAGGUUCUUCCCCCAGA